GUUGUCAUGAGCUAUUUUUUAACCCAAAUUUGAGGAUGUAGGUCAAGCUGAACCAAAGGCAUUUUCCAUCAAAUUAGGAAUUUGUUGGUCAAGCACCUGCUGUACAUAGAACAACAAUCCAUUACAGCUUUGACUAUGCCAAGCAGGUCUUCUACCCAUAUUAGGCACAGCAAGAGUGCCCUGCUUUGAUGUGUUCUGUAAAUCAUAUGGUUCACAGAUAUCUCAGUGAUGGAGGGUUUAGCUGUUAUGUGACCAAUGGUGUGGUACCUCAUUUUCAACAUCAUCCAUAAAGAGAAGACUCUGCAUACCUGCACAUUGACAACUGUGUUGGGUGGAAUAAAAACAAUGCAGUCAUUGGGUAUGAUUGACAAAAGCAGUGUUGAAGUACAUCACUUAUGCACUGCAUAUUGACACAUGAGAACAUUAGAAUAACAAAACAAUGGUCUGAUGUAUUCUGAAGGGAGAGAAACAGCAUUUACUUAAAUGAAUGCAGGUGACAUAAAGUUCAGUGCUGUGUGAGAUUUGGUCUGUGGAAGACCAAAUGGAGGCAGCACACAUCCUUUUUGGAUUGAUGACCUUGGCAAACUGGUUAUAUUCUUUGACUGGUUGGAGUACACCAAGUGACCCCUGAAGUCCAUUCCAAACUUGAGGAAAUAUCAUCACUUCAGAACUUCAGCUGACCACCCAGUGAGUGAAUUCAUGAGAGAGCAUGCCAAGGACAGUGAGAUUGAAGUUAAAAUUGACAAGCCCACAACAAUGGCUUUUCCAUUGAGAGUACCCUGAACGCAUCCAACUAAAAGGACUUAAUGCAAAAAGGCUCUGAUCCCUUAAAUAAGUGAAAAAACUAAUAUACUGAUAUGUGAUCUUUAUAAACUAAAUAUAAGAUUUGAGAAUGAGCCUGUUACUGAGCUGAUGAAAAUGUGUAUCAUUUUUUUAUUGACAAUUAUUUAUUCAAUAGAAACAUGUUCAUAUGAAAUGAAGCUACCAGUGAUUUUGAGUGAAAAACUGUGGUUUUAGCAAAUGAGUGAUAGAAGGGUGCUACACCCUGUCCUUUGUUGGUAGAGCCCCUCUGCCAUAAUGGAGACCACUAUAUGAUUAUUAUUAAUACAAACUUAAACCAAUCUGGCAGUUGAAGCCUAUAAAUGCUUGAAUUGAAGACAUUUAUAAUAUUGUUUGUCAAUAUUAAUUACUCACAGCCUGAUAAAAUGUACCUUAACAACCUUUCAGUUUUUCUUCAAUAUCUUUAUUUUUAAAACCUUCCUGAAUCCUAUAAACAUUUUCAGCUUUAACUUUUACCUAUGAAUAAGCAUCGAAAAUAUAAUUUGUCAGGUACUAUGUGACCAAUUGCAUACCUCUUGAAACUACAUAAUGACGUGUACAUGCUAAGUAGUUAGCGUGUUAAAUAAAUUGUUUUCAUUUUUGUAAAAUGUAAAUGUGCCCAUUUAUUAACUGAUCUAAUUUUACAAUAGUGUAAAUUGUGUAGGAUUGUUAUGUUUAUUUAAUUAAGAGUAUAUUUACUACCAUUUCAUGUUUUAUGAGCAAUGAAUGACUACACAAAAAAUCACAUUUGAGGUAAAGUUAGUGUGAUUAUAAUCAUGUUUGUGGCCUGUUGCCAUGAUAACCAGGAUAAAAAACAAACCCUUAAAUAUCAUUCAAAUAAGAUAAAUUAUAGUAAAUUACUGGGGUAACAUACUUUAACUUCUAGAUAUGCAUUGGUUUGUAUUAGGUGCAAGUUCCAACCUAAUGUCAAUUUAUUGUGAAAAAUUGCCAAUAAACUACGGUACUUGGCAAAGAGUUUUUAUUUAUUUUGAUUUUUUUUGAAUGUCAAAUACAUACACCAUGUACAGUAAGGUUUGAGGAUAUCAAUUAACAAAUCAAUUAUUAUUGAAAGCUUCAUAUGGCAUUUAUUGUAUAUUUAAAUGCAAAUAUAACCCCAAAACGCCUUUUUCAAUCAUGGUUGCCAUGGUAACAAAUUAAUUUUCAUUUAUUUUCUCAAUAAUAAUUGAGAAUGGUUUUGAAAAUAUAUUGUUGUCGUUAUAAUGUGGGAAUUGUGUAUAUUGUGAUGAAUAUUUAUUGCAUCUGUGAAUACAAAUGUUUCAAUCAAUUCUUGAACUUU